rnacentral:rRNA from 1 species
ACGCUCGACACCUACGGGAGGCAGCAGUGGGGAAUAUUGCACAAUGGGGGAAACCCUGAUGCAGCGACGCCGCGUGAAGGAAGAAGUAUCUCGGUAUGUAAACUUCUAUCAGCAGGGAAGAAAAUGACGGUACCUGACUAAGAAGCCCCGGCUAACUACGUGCCAGUAGCUGCGGUAAUCUGAGCGGGCUGGCAAGGC